GCACAUAUUCGAAACGGGCCUGCACCUCCUUACAUGGGAAAGGCCAUGCCGUAGAAACGAACCAAGAAAGAAAAGCUGAGGAAACUGGGUUACAGAGGGUACGGGGGGGAUGCUGCGUGCGGGGCCUGAGCAGAGCUAGGCCAGACUCCUCCCCGGCCCUGGCAGGGACCCCCUUCCCACCACAGGCCGCAGGUCCCCCCGCGCCGCCCGCCGAGGCAAAGGGAGGCCNNNNNNNNNNNNNNNNNNNNCUCCUCGCCCCGGGUCACGCCGCCCUACCCGGCUGAGAGAAGGACUUGGGAGGCGAGCGGCUCCGCCGGGGAGGGCAGCGCAGCGCGAUCGGCCGCUCCCUCCGGGCCAUCAAAGUGACCCAAAAGUGUCAGUUAAGAAAAAGAUCUCUGGCAUCCCACCCUGUGGAUUAGUAGCAAAUGGGCAUAUCAUCUAGGUUUUUCCAGAAAUUGCCUCAAGGAAGCUUCCUUAUGUAGGAAAACUGUGCAAGAAACACAGUGUGCUUUCUGGCAACU
rnacentral:lncRNA from 14 species